rnacentral:misc_RNA from 1 species
GGGGUCAGUGGUGGAAGUGAGACCGAAAUAGACUCUGAAGUAAUAUCUGGACUUUGAAAUUGCGCCAACCCUGAGACAAAAAUUUGGAAGGUGGCCCUGAGCAGCAGCUGAAGGGAAGUGGGAGGCAGCUGCUCCCAACCCCAGAACCUUUGCUGUCUUGGGACGGAUCACCACUGCAAGAGGGGAAGUUGCUACUGUGAUGAAUUCUGCCAUGUGGCACCAGACUGCCACCCAGACCACAGUGUCCUCUGCAACCCUGGUCAAAGGUGCCUACAUGCUCCUUCUAGCUUUGUUUCCCUGAUGUUCCUUGCCACCUGCUACUCCUCUCUGAGCUACUUUUCCAGCUUCUCAGAUGACCAAGAUGGUGCUGCAGAUGGUGCUGAGGAUGGAGAACCCACCAAGCCC